GGUAUAUGUACAGUGUGAUUGACGCCCUUGCCGGGUACCUGUGAAAGCGAACACUACACUGUAAACCUUCAGGCACCUGGUCAACAUGCGGGGGAACCUGGUUGUUGUUGUUGCUGUGGUGCUGGUGUGUCAGCUCACGAACUCCAUGGCCGAUACAGACACCAAAGACCAGAGCCUGUUGCAUCUGCUGACUAAGCGAGAAUCCAUAAGCGAGAAUCCAACUAUUCCACCUCCUUUUUUCCCACUUCGAAGGCCUCCAUUUACUAUUGUAGAGUUUCGACCUACAAAACCUCCACUGUGCAUGUGCCUCGGUGAAUCGUGUCCCUGGUACUGCCGCCUCCCACGCCCACGUGACCCGAUUCCGGACUGGAUUAGGUAACUCCAUUGUAAAACUGUAGGACAGGUGGAAAUGAUAAACAAACUAGCCAUCACUAGCAGCAUCAUGGUAUUCUCUCAUUACUACAAAUGACAGAGUGGAAACGACUGCCUUCACCUGACUUGUAUACCAGCAAAGAAACAGAAUUAGACUCCUUGUUUGUUUUGAAGUGUUGCCAUGGAGUCAGUGAACUCUACUCACUGAUUGUGCUCCUUCGCUGUCCGCUGUGUUGCCAGCAUAAUUCCAUCCUGAAUCCUUUCAUUUACAUUCAUUUCUAUUCUUUUCGUUUUGUAAACGUAAAAUGGAAGAAGGUCUGCAUUCUGACCAUGUUGUUAGCGAAAAUAAAAAUACCGUUAUGGAUGUAAAUAAACAAGUAAACAAUGAACUGACAGCAACUGAUCUGACCUGAAGAUUAAAGUAAACAAUAUAAAGGUUGAA